UACGUAGGGCGCAAGCGUUGUCCGGAAUUAUUGGGCGUAAAGAGCUCGUAGGCGGCUUGUCACGUCGGGUGUGAAAGCCCGGGGCUUAACCCCGGGUUUGCAUUCGAUACGGGCUAGCUAGAGUGUGGUAGGGGAGAUCGGAAUUCCUGGUGUAGCGGUGAAAUGCGCAGAUAUCAGGAGGAACACCGGUGGCGAAGGCGGAUCUCUGGGCCAUUACUGACGCUGAGGAGCGAAAGCGUGGGGAGCGAACAGG
rnacentral:rRNA from 1 species